rnacentral:tRNA from 1 species
AUCUAUGUAGUCUAAAUGAGGACAAGAGAUUUUCUAUCUUUAAGUUCCACCAUGGGUGGAUAUAGAUCA